CUUCUUUGCAUCCUCGCGACUAAUGACAACCCUAACCCGAUGCGGGUAAAGCCUCUCAUUAGCCGCGCGAACCUCUGCAACGAAGAAUAUGCACAACAACAAUACAUUAUACCCGUUAUCUUUCAAAAUACUGCUGUGUCGGUAAUUUCAGCUCAAUUUUGUCUAAACAAGACGUAGACAGGGAGGAUUACCGGGGCACAAACAGCGUUUCUACGGGCACUCUGUUCUCUUAAAUUGGCGUUGUCUGGUGGAAAAAAGGGGCCAUAAAGGCCCCUCUUU
rnacentral:sRNA from 1 species